rnacentral:rRNA from 1 species
AGGACGACAUUAGACGAAUCAUCUGGAAAGAUGAAUCAAAGAAGGUAAUAAUCCUGUAGUCGAAAAUGUUGUCUCUCUUGAGUGGAUCCUGAGUACGACGGAGCACGUGAAAUUCCGUCGGAAUCUGGGAGGACCAUCUCCUAAGGCUAAAUACUCUCUAGUGACCGAUAGUGAACCAGUACCGUGAGGGAAAGGUGAAAAGCACCCCGGAAGGGGAGUGAAACAGAACCUGAAACCGUGUGCUUACAAGUAGUCAGAGCCCGUUAAUGGGUGAUGGCGUGCCUUUUGUAGAAUGAACCGGCGAGUUACGAUUUGAUGCAAGGUUAAGCAGUAAAUGUGGAGCCGUAGCGAAAGCGAGUCUGAAUAGGGCGUUUAGUAUUUGGUCGUAGACCCGAAACCAGGUGAUCUACCCUUGGUCAGGUUGAAGUUCAGGUAACACUGAAUGGAGGACCGAACCGACUUACGUUGAAAAGUGAGCGGAUGAACUGAGGGUAGCGGAGAAAUUCCAAUCGAACCUGGAGAUAGCUGGUUCUCUCCGAAAUAGCUUUAGGGCUAGCCUCAAGUGAUGAUUAUUGGAGGUAGAGCACUGUUUGGACGAGGGGCCCCUCUCGGGUUACCGAAUUCAGACAAACUCCGAAUGCCAAUUAAUUUAACUUGGGAGUCAGAACAUGGGUGAUAAGGUCCGUGUUCGAAAGGGAAACAGCCCAGACCACCAGCUAAGGUCCCAAAAUAUAUGUUAAGUGGAAAAGGAUGUGGCGUUGCCCAGACAACUAGGAUGUUGGCUUAGAAGCAGCCAUCAUUUAAAGAGUGCGUAAUAGCUCACUAGUCGAGUGACACUGCGCCGAAAAUGUACCGGGGCUAAACAUAUUACCGAAGCUGUGGAUUGUCCUUUGGACAAUGGUAGGAGAGCGUUCUAAGGGCGUUGAAGCAUGAUCGUAAGGACAUGUGGAGCGCUUAGAAGUGAGAAUGCCGGUGUGAGUAGCGAAAGACGGGUGAGAAUCCCGUCCACCGAUUGACUAAGGUUUCCAGAGGAAGGCUCGUCCGCUCUGGGUUAGUCGGGUCCUAAGCUGAGGCCGACAGGCGUAGGCGAUGGAUAACAGGUUGAUAUUCCUGUACCACCUAUA